rnacentral:rRNA from 1 species
UACGUAGGUGGCAAGCGUUGUUCGGAAUUAUUGGGCGUAAAGGGCGCGUAGGCGGUCUUGUAAGUCAGCUGUGAAAGCCCGGGGCUCAACCCCGGAGGGUCGGCUGAUACUGCAGGACUGGAGUACGGAAGAGGUAGCUGGAAUUCCCGGUGUAGCGGUGAAAUGCGCAGAUAUCAGGAAGAACACCCGUGGCUAAGGCGGCUCUCUAGUACGGUACUGACGCUGAGACGCGAAAGCGUGGGGAGCGAACAGGAUUAGAACUACCGGAGUCAGUCCAAG